UUUAUUUUAUAACAAAAGAUGGUGCUUAUUAUAAUUUUGCAAAAUGUCAAUAUGAAGACACGAGGAAGCGUACUAAACUUGACAACUGAGGUAUUACCUGUCAGAGAAAUUACUGCCGAAAACUUUGUUCAAUAUGCCUCUUCUUAUUUAUUUAUUUGAAAGGUACUCCAAUUGCAUGUUCAAAGUACACAACCAUGUUAAAUAUUCUGUAGACCGAAAAAAUAAAACGGAACAUACAGAUGAAGGCGUACACAGCGUUCACAAGAAAGAUUUUUCUUCUAAAUAAUGGAAUGGUUGAAUCAAGUAACUUUCACGACAAUUAUAACUACAUUAAAAAAUAAAAAAAAUAUUAAUUUAGGGCCUGUCCCAUCACUGGCUGAUAUAGGCUCAGAUAGCUUAGUCACAGUUAGAUAAAGUACAGAAAACCGAAAUUCCCAUCACAUAUUUUAUAAAAAAAAAAACUUAUACAGGACCCUGUAUAAGUUUUUUUUUAUUAGUUAAUGAUUAUUGUUAUGUAUAGGAGACUACAAGCGAGGCAUCGUCUGGCAGUGAGUGUGAGGGUGAGGGUGAGGGCGAGGGCGAGGGUACAGCGGGGCUGGAGUCGAGCGGCGCGGUGCUGCGCUCGCUCCGCGCGCUGCACGCCGACGUGCGCGACAUCUGGCGGGCGCUGGACGCGCGCAGACCUAACACUGCGUCACCAGAAACCAGUUCCUACAACGUAGCCACUACAUCGCAGACGAGAAUGACUUUAUCCGCACCGGAUCCCAUGAUAAACGAGACAUCGGAUGGAGUGACAGAGAGGGCCAAAGGACUCCGCGCGUGGCUCCAAACGGCGCCCUGAAACAUGCCCGACUGAUUCUCUUAUAAUCUAGUCUAUUUCCAAAUGUAUAUUUAAGUUAAUAUUCUAUAGAUUUAUUUGUGUUAUUCAUACAGAUGCCAAAAAUAACCGAAUUACUCUAACAAUAGAAAAUAAAAUUACGUUAGUUGUUGAACAUGCUUAUUCGUUGAAAGUUUUAAAUUAUUUCAAUGUAUAUUUUUUGUGUCAUACAAAUUGCAAUAUUCCAGAUGCAAAACAGUUUCUUGUAAAAACAAUAUAUGGUAUUAUGUUAAGAUAUAUUCUGUUUGGUUAUAAAGUUCCGACUUGAAGGACCAUCUGUUUAAUAUCUCCGUAUAUUUCAAUAAAAUUUGAUCUUAAAAUAUUUUAUAAUUAAUUUCAUGUAAAAGUUACGAUAAUUUCCAUAAAUUUGUUUAUAUGUUUAAAUAAUUGAAAUAUUGAACACAAUAAAAAUUACUUUAACGUUAUAUGGUGCUUUUAAAUAAUCUGAUUUUAUAUUUACUUAAUUUUUUAUUGAUAGAAUUUCAUAUAUUUGUUCUAAUUGAACUGUUUGGUGUAUAAAUAUGAAAUUAUGGUAGUUAUUGUUUUAAUAGACUUCUCUAUAUUUUACGUGUAGAAUUAAUAAAGACUGCUCUUGAAUUAUGAGUCAUAUCUAGUUUGCAUUUUCAAUAUGUUAAAAUAGCGUUUUAAUAUUUUUUAACAGUAGGCUCUAAUAUAUAAAAAAUACGGUAAAAGAUAUCUAAUAAAACAUUCCAUUAAAGCUUUAUUUAAUCGAUAUUAACAUAUCCAAUUAUUUUUAUGUUUUUAAUACUGGUAUGUGAAAAUGGUUGUUUAAAAUCGAUGUUAUCUGUAUAAAUCGAUAUUAGUUCGAUUUAAAUGUAAAAUAAUCGAUUAUCCUAGUGUCUUUAUCCGCACAAGUUAUUAUAAGUAUGUUAAGAAGUUUUUUUUUUCAUUAAAUUACAUUUUAUAAUGUAAUCUAUUGAGAGUUUUAAAUAUGUCUAUGAUAAUAUAGUUUCUUAGUUGAAGACUGUAUGGCUUAUUUAACCAAGUAACAACUACUAACUGAACAGUCCUACUGUUCAAUUAAAAUUGAAGGUUAAGCCAUUUUUUAUUGUCUAGUCACGUUAAUAGUACAUACUUGAAUAGUGCUUUUAGUGAUUCUAGUUAUACUUAUAUACUUAUUAUAACUUAGUCAAAUUCAAGUUAAUUAGUAACGUGUUUCUGAAUCAGUACCUUAUUUACACUUAUGUAUGUUUAUGUAAAGUUUUGUAAAAACAUUUCAAGUGUAAUUUAAGCAAUAGCAUUUGUAUUCAAUUAUGUAACUUAACAAUUUAAGUAUAAAUAUGUAUUUUAGAUCUCUUCAGUGAUGUAUUUCUAAUUAAAACGUGAUAUCCUUAUAUAUUAAUAUAUAUUUAAUUAAUAUUUCAUGUAAUGUAUUUUGUCCUAGUAUAGUGCGACAAACUUUACUGGCCGAGUGGCGCUAGAUAAUUUAAUAGACCGUAUAGGACGUAAAUUAUAAAGAAACCUGAUUUUUUAACCUUAUUAUUUAAAAGGUCCUUAGACAAGGUCAUAAAUGUUAAGUGGAUUUUAAAAAAAUACUUUUUUUUCUUCCUGUCAAAGCCUAGUAUCGAGGUUAGUUGUUUGAAAAUAAAAAAAAAUAAAAGCACAAAAUGACGGUAAGAAGAUAUAAGAAUUAAGGCCCAUUUACACGAUGUAUGUUUCUUGGCCAUUGCCAGUAAUAAGUGUAGCAAUAAUUGUCUUGUAUAGUUAACUUUUACUGUAUGUAAUGGGCAAAAAACUUGCAUCAUGUAAAUGGGUCUUCAAAGACAAUACAAUAAUGUUUUUAAUAACAGAGGGCGACUGUGGAUUAAUUUAGUUAUUUUUGACCGACUUUCCAAAAGAAGGAG